CCUUAAAUAGAAACACACAAGAAUCUGAUUGAAGGAACUUCUGCAGAGUCCUGGUUCCAGAACAUGAUGAUAGAAUUAUAGACAAACUUUAACAAAAGCUGCCUGAGAGUUUACAGGUUUUUAUGUUAGAUUUCUUCAGUAAUUUAAUGAGAGUUAUCAGCAAAAAUCAAGUGUUCAUUUGAUGAACUUCAUUUCCUAAAACAUCCAGAAUUGGAGCUCAUAUCUUUGGCAGCUGUAAAGUUUCUGCUCCUUCAAAGUUCACAACACAAUGAAUGAAUUCCUAAAACACUCUCAAUGCUGGAGAGCGUUUGUGAUGCUGAAGCAGUGACCAGUUUUUCUGUUUCUUCUCUGGAGAUGCACAAUGAGGGACGUCUGCAGAGAAUGAGAAAGAGUCUCACCACAUCCUGACAUGAGGAAAAAGACUUUAUUGAAGACUACAAUGAGAAAAACUAUCCAGACAGCAGACGGCUGCAUUCAAGCUGCUGAAUUCAUGGAUGAAUCAUCUGGCACUAGAGAGGAAGACCAUCAAACAUCCAUGUCAGCUGAUGGAGGUCCAAGAGUCUCACCAAACAACCAACCUACAGAGUGAAGACCUCAAAUCUGAUUGGACGGCCUCCUAUUCAGCCACGUGUGAACAAAUGCCUCUAAGUUGAUUUGUUUUCUAAAAUAAAUCUAGUUUGAG
ensembl:lncRNA